rnacentral:tRNA from 1 species
AGCGGAGUAGAGCAGUUGGUUAGCAUACAAGUUCCAUACGCUUGAGGUCGCAGGUUCGAGUCCUGCCUCCGCAACAA